rnacentral:rRNA from 1 species
GAUGAACGCUGGCGGCGUGCCUAAUACAUGCAAGUCGAGCGAACAGAUGAGGAGCUUGCUCCUCUGACGUUAGCGGCGGACGGGUGAGUAACACGUGGAUAACCUACCUAUAAGACUGGGAUAACUUCGGGAAACCGGAGCUAAUACCGGAUAAUAUAUUGAACCGCAUGGUUCAAUAGUGAAAGACGGUUUUGCUGUCACUUAUAGAUGGAUCCGCGCCGCAUUAGCUAGUUGGUAAGGUAACGGCUUACCAAGGCAACGAUGCGUAGCCGACCUGAGAGGGUGAUCGGCCACACUGGAACUGAGACACGGUCCAGACUCCUACGGGAGGCAGCAGUAGGGAAUCUUCCGCAAUGGGCGAAAGCCUGACGGAGCAACGCCGCGUGAGUGAUGAAGGUCUUCGGAUCGUAAAGCUCUGUUAUUAGGGAAGAACAGAUGUAUAAGUAACUAUGCACGUCUUGACGGUACCUAAUCAGAAAGCAACGGCUAACUACGUG